GGUAGUUUCUUCCUAUUUUUUUUUUUUUUUGUCUGUUGAGCUGGGAGAAGUCGAAAGAUUCGGAAUUUUGAUUCUGUUUGAGAUUAGCAUACGGGACUGGAGUCUGCGAGAUUCAGAUCGGUGGAGAGAAGAGCGUUUCGUAUCGAUUGGAUUUUUUAUGUCUGGGUUCAGCUCAGUUCGUUUCUUUGGGAGCAUAAAGAAGAUUUGGGGGAGAAAUUAGAGAUGUUGUGGAUUGGAUAAACUAGAAUCGACUCAAAGGAUGACAGACAGAAAAUUGAUAUUGAAAGACUCCCGAGACUCCCAAAUGGACAGGAAGAGACUCCAAGGAGGUAAAAGAUGCAAUGGGACCAAAGGGUGUCAAGUAGGGUAUUGUUUGGAACAGCACACCAGAUGAUCACAGGAUGAUUGUUACAGAUGUUCGAAUUAUCUCCUGAACAGAAAAUGAAGUAUGAUGGUAGAGUUUGUAUGAGUUCAGAUACGAUAAGUAAAAAACAGGAAGAACUUGAAGCUGAACUUGAGAGGUUGGGACUAAACAUGAAUACUUUUACUUUGGAGAGAAGAUUAACUGAUCUUGAUGAGGUUGAUUGUCAAAAGAGCUAGAGUAAAAGAGUUGGUGAAGGAUAAGCAAGCUGCACUUGAAGCAUUUGGAACUUAUGUUGAGUCAUUGACUGGAGAUUCAAGGGACAAGCCAUUCCUAAGGAAAGCUCUGAGAGGAGUUUCCACAGUAAUAUGCCCAAAUAAAAAGUAAUCGGACAGAGUUGUGCUAUUCAUAGCAGAUAGUGUCCGUGGGGAGACCUUGCACGUGGGUUUGAAACAGACCGUAUAAGAGAACUUUCUCCUCCAGUUUUAGUCAUCUUCACAAGUCUCAGGGUGAAAACAUUUCAAGUUGACCUAUUUCCAACCAGGUUCAAUCAUGAUGAAACAACAAUGAGCAUGCAAGCUAGGGCUCUUAUGUUCUGAGGCAAAUAUUAUGAACUCUGUUCUCAGGCAAAGGUUACUGUUGUUAAUGGUGAGGUACCAAUGGCUGAGCAGGUUUCUGUGUUUUUCCCGGUGAAUUUGUCUUAAUUGAACAUAAAUUAUUUAUUUUAGACAUAUAAUCAUCAACACCUAAUAUAUAUUCUCAAGCUUUUGUUGUUCUUCCAAAAUAUGCAGAGAACUAUAUGCAAAAGACUCAACAGAGGAUUGAGCACAGUGUUAGCUCACUCUCGGAUAAAGCCAAAACAACCACUUUGGAGUGACUGGAAGCUAAUAUCAAGACCCGAGGCUAACUUAUAUCCAGCAAAAAGAAGUGCAAUACGAAGCCACUAAAGUCUGACACAAAAGAAGUCUCAAUGUGCUUUUUCAUUGGCUCAAUCUGUUCAGGCCAACUUCCAUCAAAGAGUUCUCACACACAAAGUUUCAUUUCAACUUAUUGAUUGGGGUCAAGAAAUUUGGGUAAUGUGUACUUGACCUUAAACCGUAGUUGGUAAGUUGUACAUGACCUCAAAGUGUGUGAAGACAGCUUACUCCAAUUUCUCAAAUCAGUUUACACAAAGAUUCUACAAAUUAAUGUUAUGAGAUCAACAAUAUUAUUCUCUCUAAGUUGAGAGCGUCUCUCUCUAGAAUAGAGAAACCCCCCACUUCCUGCAGUGGAAACCCACUAGCAACAGUGAAGCCCUAGG